AGGGCAGAUAAAGAUCAAGCGAGUUCAUUUACCAAGCCUCGGCACAAAGACGCUCGUCCCAAAACACUGGCCGAUCAUCCAGAUGGUUGAGCUUGGGAAGACUCGAGAUCACAGUCUACAGCAAAGUGGUUCGUUACGCAUGGAUUACCGGAUAAGUAAAGCACGGUAAGCUCGGGCAUGGCUUUAAGAACUCUCAAAACUCCCUCUCCAUCGUCAAGUUUGUUGGACGAUACGUCGAGAACGCUUCAUGGAGUUUCCCAAGCUCGAGGGUCACGACCACAAGCUGGAAGAAAGAGAUGACAAUGCUUACCAUAUCGAGGUACAGUCUUUGAGGUGCUCGAUGGAUUCCACAGACUUGAGAUAGUUGUUUGAGACUUGCAGGACCUUGAGGCUCGGGCAAGCCGAGAGAUUCUCGAGCGUUUUCAAGCAGUUGUUACUGUCGGCAUCAUCGAGCAAAACGAGAGCUUCAAACAAGAGAAGUUCGUGGAAGAGAAGAAGCGACCAACCUGAGAUCCAAGGUGUCCAGCAUUUUAAGAUCCUCGAGAUGGUUGAUACAAGCAAUUUGAUUCUUCUGGACGUACCUGGAAAAGAGUUGUUUUUUUUUUUUUUCUCCGCGUUCAAAUCGAAGCUGAGCUGAGAAAACUAGAAGUUUUAGAGAGACUACCUACAAGCAGCGUAAUUCCGCGAGUGGCUGUAGACCAUCCAAAGACUCAAAGAAAUUCCCUUCAAGGAA